GACAAGAUCAGACUUGGCUCUGCUUUCUACCAAGAUGUUGGUGAUAAGAGCCACUCUCUGUUCUCUACUCCCUGACCCAGGAUUAAAUUAAAGCCAUUUACCACCUGAGAUUAAAAAAAAAAAUCAUGAUAAAAUACUAAUCUUGGCCAACAAUAUAGUCUCUUGGAUAUCAUACAGCUCUAUAAGGCCCAUAGGUAACAAGUGUCCCACAGAAGGAUAGAGUCUUCCUAAGAGAGAGUACCUCAAGACCUAAAUUCCUAGUGGAAACUACCAUCUAUAUCCCAUCCAUUGCCACCAUCCAGCCAAACCCUGCCUGUUCAUAAAGAUACAUCAGAUGUUCCAAUCUCUACUGAUGAAAAUUAUUCAAUGAUAAUUUAAUAAAGUGGCCUGACAUUUGCAGGGCUGUUCCCAGAGUUAAAAUCCCCAGGGCUGUGUCUCAGCCUCUGUCGUCUGGCUUCAUCAGCUGAAGUAUCAGGACUAUGCUGUGACUGAUUUCUGUGAAAUACAAGCCUACCUCAACAACCAAGCCCAAUUAAAUUCAGGUCAAAUGUGGUCAGAUUAGCAGAAUCCCGACUGUAACAACCUCUACUGAACAACGGCCGCAGGAAACUUAAACUGUCACCCUACCUCCCCUUCCAAUAGCCAGGGAGGGUGUUCUGAAGGAACUCCGUGAGAAUGGCAAAGGACAGGAGAAAGUUGAACGGCCAUGAACAGACUCACAGAGAAGACUCCGACUCACUGUUACUAAGUCGCCCUCCUCCCCUUAAUGUGACAUGUCAGGACAGAGACAAACCCCAGCACUUUGUUAUUACACCAUAAGGUUGAGACCCCAACUCCGCACUUCAUUAGUGACAUCACUGGGGAAAAACGGUUUAUAUUUUGUGUCUUAAUUUCUUCUCUUUUUUUUUUUUUCCAUAGUGUCUACAGUAGCAAUCCCCAAUCUUCCUAACGCUGCGAUCCUCAUACUAAGGGGACCCCCACUCAUGAGAUCAUAUGGUUACUCCUUCCUAACUGUAAUUUCUUCUGUUAUGAAUUGUAAAUAUCUGAUAUGCAGGAUAUCUGAUAUGUGACCCCCAAAGGGGUCAUGACCUACAGGUUGAGAACCACUGCUCAACAGUGAUGCUGACCUUACAGUGAUUGUGGGAAUUAGGUGACACUAUGAAUGUUCAACCUACUGCCUUUGGGACCUAAUAUUUAAUAAAUAGUAGCUAGCAUUUAAAAUAUAUAGUCCCCAAGCCUGUCUAAAUCUAAUCCAUUUCUUCUUCACCAGUACUUAAAUUUAUUCCAACAUAAAAUUAAUUUAAUUAUAAAAAAUAUUUAUUUUAAAAACUGAAUUUAGUAAUAAAAAGAAGCCAUUUUAAAAAAUCUUAACCCAUACUAAGGAGGGAGGUUGUCCUCCUUAUACUAUCAUAAGCAUCUUCCUGAUACUCAGUCAGGGCACCUCCCCUGAGGGAACGGGAUAUUUCCAUUGAGAUACAGGGAGACUUAACAAUUUUGGGAUGAGAGACAAUGGCUUUAGAGCAAAGAGAAGUCACAGAUUUCACUGGGACACUAGAAGAUAGGAAAGGUUAUGUACAAACAGUUAUAAGGAGAGUAAAGAAAGCUGGCCUGUUUCAGAACUGUGACUGGGCCAACACGCACGCACACUGCCUAAGAAACACGUCUUAGUACUAAAGAUAGGUGACGUCAGGAGUUAGGGUGAUGGGCCCUGGGGUUCUCAGGCCCACAGUGAGCAUCUCUUCUCAGAAAAAAUGCUCUGCGGGAGCAACAUUAACAUUGGGAGUUUUGUUCUCUCAUUACUUCAGGACAGCUUAAAUAUCCCCAAAUAUCCCAAUAAAACCCAAGUGGGCUGCUAUGAAUGCCACAUUUAAAAGCCAAGCACUCACAUGUAUUCCUAAUGGUGAGCGAGCCCUGUGCCUGCACGGCUUUCGCAGCUAUAAUGGCAACUCCGUGUGAAAAAGAAUCAGAAUUUCCUGAGCCUCACAUAACUCCUGAGGUUUACCAUGGUGCUCACAUACCUUGUGAAGAUGCAUUUUAAAAUGUAAUUUUUAGAAUGCACUGAGUUGUGCACAGUUUUUGAGCACAUAGGAGGUAUAAAUUUAUAACGGGUAAUGAUCAAACAAAGGCACCCAUAACUGUCAGUUUUCUAUCGUGUCACGUGGGUUCUUCUCUUCCAGUUAUUUCGCACCUAUCAUAAAAUGUUGCAGACCAUGUCUCCCAGUCUGUGCUGUAAACACCAGGAAUGAUUCUCUCUAGCAACUGUAUUUUGGAAUUUAUUGUAUGAUCUCUCUCAUAACCCCUCUCCCUCUCUCCUCCCCAGUUUCUGGUGAUUUCAAGUCUAUUCUCUUCCUAAGAGAUUGAGUCUUUCAGCUUCUAUCAAUUUAUUAGAACAUAUUUCAUUUGUCCUUAUGUGGGUGGCUUAUUUCAUGUAACAGGAUGUCUUCUGGUUCUAUCAAAAUUAAGUAGUGUUAUUAUUUUGCAUAUAUGAUAAGUGAAUGCUUUCAAUAACUUCCCUCCAACUCUCUACUGAGUACUCUCUGCAUGUGAACAAAUUAAGAGGGAAUGGGAAAUACAGAAAAAUCAUACAUCUCGUUUUCAAUGAGUACAGUUUAGACACAAAAUUCAAAAAAUUAAUAAUAAAAUAUUCCAGUUCAUGUUCAAAGCAUCCUUUGAAGGACUAUGGUAAAAAUAAAAACAAUAAACAGAAACACAGAACAUAUGGCUAGCAGAUUCCCCAACAGGAGCCCAGCCAAGGCGGUUGGCAUUCAUACUUGGGAAUCAGAGGUAGAAGGAUUGGAAGUUAAAGUGCGGCCUCGGUUACAUAGCAAGUUCAAAGCCAGCCUAGGAUAUAUAGGAUGCUUGCUGUUUCAAAAACAAAGUC
rnacentral:lncRNA from 1 species